rnacentral:rRNA from 1 species
UGGGGAAUUUUGGACAAUGGGCGAAAGCCUGAUUCAGCAAUGCCGCGUGUGUGAAGAAGGCCUUCGGGUUGUAAAGCACUUUUGUCCGGAAAGAAAUCCUUGGCUCUAAUACAGUCGGGGGAUGACGGUACCGGAAGAAUAAGCACCGGCUAACUACGUGCCAGCAGCCGCGGUAAUACGUAGGGUGCAAGCGUUAAUCGGAAUUACUGGGCGUAAAGCGUGCGCAGGCGGUUUGCUAAGACCGAUGUGAAAUCCCCGGGCUCAACCUGGGAACUGCAUUGGUGACUGGCAGGCUAGAGUAUGGCAGAGGGGGGUAGAAUUCCACGUGUAGCAGUGAAAUGCGUAGAGAUGUGGAGGAAUACCGAUGGCGAAGGCAGCCCCCUGGGCCAAUACUGACGCUCAUGCACGAAAGCGUGGGGAGCAAACAGGAUUAGAUACCCUGGUAGUCCACGCCCUAAACGAUGUCAACUAGUUGUUGGGGAUUCAUUUCCUUAGUAACGUAGCUAACGCGUGAAGUUGACCGCCUGGGGAGUACGGUCGCAAGAUUAAAACUCAAAUGAAUUGACGGGGUCAUAGCUGUUUCCU